rnacentral:rRNA from 1 species
AGGACGAACGCUGGCGGCGUGCCUAACACAUGCAAGUCGAGCGGAAAGGCCCUUCGGGGUACUCGAGCGGCGAACGGGUGAGUAACACGUGAGUAACCUGCCCUAGGCUUUGGGAUAACCCUCGGAAACGGGGGCUAAUACCGGAUAUUCAUAUUUGGCGGCAUCGCUGGAUGUGGAAAGUUUUUCGGCCUGGGAUGGACUCGCGGCCUAUCAGCUUGUUGGUGGGGUAAUGGCCUACCAAGGCGACGACGGGUA